AAUGAACGUUGGCGGCGUGGAUUAGGCAUGCGAGUCGUACGAGAACCCGCAAGGGGGAAAGUGGCGAACGGGGUAGUAAUGCGUAGGUGACGUGCCCUGCGGUCGGGGAUAGCUUAGGGAAACUUAAGGUAAUACCCGAUGACACCAUGAGGUUUGAAUACCAUAUGGUCAAAGGUGUGAUUCCACCACAGGAGCGGCUUGCGUGGUAUUAGCUAGUUGGUGAGGUAACGGCUCACCAAGGCAACGAUGCCUAGGGGAUGUUAGCGCAUGAUCCCCACCACUGGGACUGAGAUACUGCCCAGACACCUACGGGUGGCUGCAGUCGAGAAUCUUCGGCAAUGGGGGAAACCCUGACCGAGCGACGCCGCGUGUGGGAUGAAGGCCCUUGGGUUGUAAACCACUGUCAGAGGGGAUGAAGUGCUAGAGAGCUAUCUCUCUAGUUUGACAUAGCCUCAGAGGAAGCACGGGCUAAGUUCGUGCCAGCAGCCGCGGUAAUACG
rnacentral:rRNA from 1 species